rnacentral:misc_RNA from 1 species
GAUGAAGAACGCAGCGAAACGCGAUAGUUAAUGUGAAUUGCAGAAUUCAGUGAAUCAUCGAGUCUUUGAACGCACAUUGCGCCUUUUGGUAUUCCGAGAGGCACGCCUGUCUGAGCGUCAGCAAAACCCUUCGCGCUGGCAAUUUAUUGUCCAGCCGGUGCUGGCGGCGGGGUGCCCCUGAAAAAGGGCGCCCCCCGCUUAAACCUGACGGCGGAAGGUCCGGCGGCCACGGCAAUAGUAGAAAUAUUUUUGCGAGUGCGCCCGUCGCUUCCCCCGCCCUAAGCCCCAAUUCAAAUUUUUGACCUCAGAUCAGACGAGGAUACCCGCUGAACUUAAGCAUAUCAAUAAGCGGAGGA